rnacentral:rRNA from 1 species
AUGUGGAACUGCUCGGCGCCGUCCCCGCUCUUGCUGCCCUUGAGCGACGACUACGUGAAAUGUGAAUCCUCGAAUUCUGCGCCCGGAGCCGCGGGUUUCGACGGAAUAAGCAGGCUCGCCGCCGACUAUGGCCAUCUCUGCCACCACAUGUCGUCGCUUCAGAGCCUUCCGGCGCCGGCUCUCUUCGCCACGCGCAGUUCCGAGAGCUUUUUCGGAAUGGGAGACGGUUCUGCCUACGGCGGCGACGGUAGGCCUGCUGCGUUCAUGCACUUCGGCUACACCCAGGACCAGCCACCUACUGCUGCUACCCAUCCUGUGAGAUGGACGGCAGCAGGCGGCGAGACGAUGGUCUGUGACGGAAGCAGCUUCAGUGGCUCCAAGAGGCGCAAGACAACGACGACGGACAGCCGGCUGCAGGGCAGCAGCGCAAAGCCAAGGAAUACUACUACUACAGCAGCUGCCAAGGCACCGUGCAAGAGGAGCCAGAAGCUGGGGGACAAGAUCACCGCGCUCCAGCAGCUGGUUUCCCCCUACGGCAAGACGGACACCGCGUCGGUUCUCCACGAGGCAGCCGCUUGCAUCAGGAACCUUCACGACCAAAUUCAGAUCCUGGCCGCGCCCUACCCUGGAGAGAGCUCCUCGCCGUCGUCGUCGCGGGAUGCCGGAGAAGAGCCAACGACAGGUCUGCGCCGGCGUGGCCUCUGCGUGGCCCCGCUGUCGCCGGCCGUUGUGAGCCUCGUGUCCGGCGCCGCCCGUGCCCGUGGCAGCGCUCAUGCCGACGUGGGGGGUGCUUGGUUCGCUGCUCUGUAG